UACGAAGGGUGCAAGCGUUAAUCGGAAUUACUGGGCGUAAAGCGUGCGCAGGCGGCGACAUAAGACAGAUGUGAAAUCCCCGGGCUCAACCUGGGAACUGCGUUUGUGACUGUAGAGCUAGAGUACGGUAGAGGGGGAUGGAAUUCCGCGUGUAGCAGUGAAAUGCGUAGAUAUGCGGAGGAACACCGAUGGCGAAGGCAAUCCCCUGGACCUGUACUGACGCUCAUGCACGAAAGCGUGGGGAGCAAACAGGAUUAGAUACCCGCGUAGUCC
rnacentral:rRNA from 1 species